UACGUAGGGUGCGAGCGUUGUCCGGAAUUACUGGGCGUAAAGAGCUCGUAGGCGGUUUGUCGCGUCGUUCGUGAAAACUUGGGGCUUAACUCCAAGCGUGCGGGCGAUACGGGCAGACUUGAGUACUACAGGGGAGACUGGAAUUCCUGGUGUAGCGGUGAAAUGCGCAGAUAUCAGGAGGAACACCGGUGGCGAAGGCGGGUCUCUGGGCCGAUACUGACGCUGAGGAGCGAAAGCGUGGGGAGCGAACAGG
rnacentral:rRNA from 1 species